rnacentral:rRNA from 1 species
GAUGAACGCUAGCGACAGGCCUAACACAUGCAAGUCGAGGGGCAGCACAAGGUAGCAAUACUGAGGUGGCGACCGGCGCACGGGUGAGUAACGCGUAUGCAACCUGCCUGUAACAGGGGAAUAGCCUCUUGAAAGAGAGAUUAAUGCCGCAUAAUACGAGAUUCGGGCAUCCGGAUUUUGUUAAACAUUUAUGGGUUACAGAUGGGCAUGCGUUUCAUUAGGUAGUUGGUGAGGUAACGGCUCACCAAGCCGACGAUGAAUAGGGGUUCUGAGAGGAAGGUCCCCCACACUGGUACUGAGACACGGACCAGACUCCUACGGGAGGCAGAAGUGAGGAAUAUUGGACAAUGGGCGCAAGCCUGAUCCAGCCAUGCCGCGUGCAGGAUGACGGUCCUAUGGAUUGUAAACUGCUUUUGUACAGGAAGAAACACUCCCUCGUGAGGGAGCUUGACGGUACUGUAAGAAUAAGGAUCGGCUAACUCCGUGCCAGCCGCCGCCGUAACAC